UUAUCAUUGCAACUCGAUGCAUCGGCUCUUGUAGCUUUAUUGUAUUUAAACAUGCACAGGCUGCAGCAUUCACGCGAUCAUGAUUUAGCAUGUAAUAUUAUACAGCCGAACGCACUGAUAGUCAAAAUUCAUUGAAUGUCUACGAUAUUGAACGCAUGGUACCAUAUCACAUGACCUACUAUAUAAUCGAUACUGAUUACGAUAACUAUCUGGUUGCUUAUGCCUGUUUAGAAACUCCUAUUAGCAACAGCCCCGUAACCAGCCUCAUUUUAUCCAGGACUAACAGUAUGAGUACUGGAAAAUAUGACGAACUGUCCAAUUUGUUGGUUGAUAUAUUAAAAAAAUAUAAACCUGAUUUUGACCCAGAAGACUAAUUACUGUGGACUUAAGCAAACUUUUUUAUGGAACACAAGGAAUGGUUGCAACUACAUCAUGACGUUAUGGUCAAUUCUCUUGAAAGUAACGAUUCAAAUUUUGUAUUGGUCAUUCUUCUGCCAAUAAAAUUUGUAAGAUGACCUUUAUGUUAGGCAAAAAUAAAAGAUGAACUAAA